CCUACGGGGCGCAGCAGUGAGGAAUAUUGGUCAAUGGGCGAGAGCCUGAACCAGCCAAGUCGCGUGAGGGAAGACGGUCCUAUGGAUUGUAAACCUCUUUUGCCGGGGAGCAAAAAGCGGUACGUGUACCGCAUCGAGAGUACCCGGAGAAAAAGCAUCGGCUAACUCCGUGCCAGCAGCCGCGGUAAUACGUAUGAAGCAAGCGUUAUCCGGAUUUACUGGGUGUAAAGGGAGCGCAGACGGCAGGGCAAGUCUGAUGUGAAAGUCCGGGGCUCAACCCCGGGCCUGCAUUGGAAACUGUCCGG
rnacentral:rRNA from 1 species